rnacentral:rRNA from 1 species
GACGAACGCUGGCGGCGUGCUUAACACAUGCAAGUCGAACGCUGAAGCUCAGCUUUUGUUGGGUGGAUGAGUGGCGAACGGGUGAGUAACACGUGAGUAACCUGCCUCCUUCUUUGGGAUAACGCCCGGAAACGGGUGCUAAUACUGGAUAUUCACUGGUCUUCGCAUGGGGGUUGGUGGAAAGGGUUUUUCUGGUGGGGGAUGGGCUCGCGGCCUAGCAGCUUGUUGGUGGGGUGAUGGCCUACCAAGGCUUUGACGGGUAGCCGGGCUGAGAGGGUGACCGGUCACAGUGGGACGGAGAUACGGCCCAGAGUCCUACGGGAGGGAGCAGUGGGGAAUAUUGCAGAAUGGGCGCAAGCCCGAUGCAGCGACGCCGCGUGAGGGAUGGAGGCCUUCGGGUUGUGAACCUCGUUCGCACAUGGUCAAGCCGCAACAAUGGUUGUGGUGAGGGUGGUGGGUAAAGAAGCGCCGGCUAACUACGUG